ACAAAAACAAUAACAAGCAUGGCAAAACAGAAUAAGAACAAGACGAAUCGGCUCACGCACAAUAAGAACAAGACGGCGGAGGCGCAGCUAACUGAUUCUUUUGGAGAGGAAUGGUGUUUGGGGCUUGCCCCACAAUCUGGCAGAGAACAACAAAAACUGCACUGAAAAGCAGCGCCUGAACAGAUUGGAUCGGUUGAUCAGCACGACUCGGCGUCCAAAGCAAUCCGUUUGCUCUUCACUCCCGCUUUGGGAGUGACCCAGGGGAGAUCCCCCGGGUAGGGCACUCAACAAAAACAAGAAGCCCGCUAGAAAAACAACAAGAGCACGCAACGACUUUCCUGGGGAGCUUCGGCUCCCCAUGUCGUUUCCGGCCUCCAGCACCCUGCUCG
rnacentral:sRNA from 1 species